UCAGAACGAACGCUGGCGGCGUGCCUAACACAUGCAAGUCGAGCGAAAUUAUUUAGCCCCAGCAAUGGGGAAAAAUAGUUGAGCGGCGAACGGGUGAGUAACACGUAGGUAACCUUCCCAUAUGACGGGGAUAGCCCUUCGAAAGAGGGAUUAAUACCGGAUAAGACACCGAAAGUGGAAUCUUUGGUGUAAAAGGGUUGUCGUAAGGCAUCUGCAUAUGGAUGGGCCUGCGAUCUAUCAGCUAGUUGGUGAGGUAAGGGCUCACCAAGGCGAAGACGGAUAGCCGAACUGAGAGGUUGGUCGGCCACACUGGAACUGAGACACGGUCCAGACUCCUACGGGAGGCAGCAGUGGGGAAUUUUGCGCAAUGGGCGAAAGCCUGACGCAGCGACGCCGCGUGGGGGAUGAAGGUCUUCGGAUUGUAAACCCCUUUCGUGGGGAAAAAAGCUCUUCGGAGUGAUGGACCCCAGGAAGAAGCCACGGUAA
rnacentral:rRNA from 1 species